CCCGAGUUGUAAUUUGUAGAGGAUGCUUUUGAUGCGGUGCCUUCCGAGUUCCCUGGAACGGGACGCCAUAGAGGGUGAGAGCCCCGUCUGGUUGGAUGCCAAAUCUCUGUAAAGCUCCUUCGACGAGUCGAGUAGUUUGGGAAUGCUGCUCUAAAUGGGAGGUAUAUGUCUUCUAAAGCUAAAUACCGGCCAGAGACCGAUAGCGCACAAGUAGAGUGAUCUAAAGAUGAAAAGCACUUUGAAAAGAGAGUUAAAAAGUACGUGAAAUUGUUGAAAGGGAAGCGUUUAUGACCAGACUUGGGCUUGGAUAAUCAUCUGGGGUUCUCCCCAGUGCACUUUUCCAGUCCAGGCCAGCAUCAGUUUUCGCCGGGGGAUAAAGGCUUCGGGAAUGUGGCUCUCUUCGGGGAGUGUUAUAGCCCGUUGCGUAAUACCCUGGCGGGUCUGAGGUUCGCGCAUCUGC
rnacentral:rRNA from 1 species